CAGGUCCUGUAGCCUUGUCUACACCCUGCAAGUUGAUAGCACCAGGAGUGACAGUCAGUGGGACAAUGUCAGUGACCAAGAAUGAGCUCUACUUUGAAAUGGAUGAUGAUGACCCACAGAACAAGAAGAUUGACCUGAAGGUCAGUUUUUUUUGUUUUUUUUUCAUUUUAACUUUCUUUUUCUUUCUCUAGUAUUUUGUUUAGACUUGUAUUUUCUUUUUCUUCUUCAGUAUAUCUGUAUAUAUGUCUUUGAAAUUUAGCAUUAGCAAGUUCUGUCAGACAUUAAGUUUAACAAUGUUGUAGAUCUAGGUCUCUUAGAUGUAGCACUAUCUGGAUUUUGGACAGCCAUGAUAUCUCAUGAUAUCUGUUAUUCAACUGAGGACACUAGAGAUGUGUGACUAUAAUUGAACAUCCUUCUUAAGCAAUUGAGAUUUUGACUAAAUUUGCAAUUUUGUUCAGUUAUCUUCUCUAUCAAACUUUUGUUCAGUUAUUUUCUCUAUCAAACUUUUGUUCAGUUUUCUGCUCUAUCAAACUUUUGUUCAGUUAUCUGCUCUAUCAAACUUUUGUUCAGUUAUUUUCUCUAUCAAACUUUUGUUCAGUUUUCUGCUCUAUCAAACUUUUGUUCAGUUAUCUGCUCUAUCAAACUUUUCUCUGAGCUGCUACACUGACUUUGUUUUUGACUCAUAAGUUAAAGAAGUUGCAAUAAAAUUUAGACCGGAAUUCUUGCUGGAGCUCUAAUGUUUUAAGUUGAAAUGACAGAGGAAAUAUUUUCUGCAAACUUGUCUACCUGUCUGUCCAGCUGUCUGUCCAGCUGUCAGCAUUUUAUUACAGAACGUUCACAUGGUGUCCCACCAGUUGCUAUAUCAUAAUAAUUUAUUGUGUCCUUGGUGUGCCUGUUGUGCAUAGACAAUGUGUGGUGUGCCUCUGUUCAACUUCACUUGACAUGUGUACAAACGUACCAGGGGCAGAACAAAAUAAAAACACCUUAUCACAGUCAUGUAGAAAUACCCUGGACUCUGACAUGGCUACUGCGAUUAGAGAUUAUUUUUUGUCACUAAACAUGCCCCUGGCUCUGAGGAUAUAAUAAAUGUACAUUUGAUUAGUGCCACUUACUGUUUAUGUUUAAGUGUGUGCUUGAGAGAUCUAGAGUAUCUAAACAGUGGUAAUGGCUUAUCAGAAAGAUGUAAUUGUUAGAAAUGAAAUCUGUGUGAAAGAACUUUGAGGAAUUUUGAAAUAAAUCUAUUGAUGACCUUUUCCAUACAACAUUCUUUAAUGGAGCAAUCAACCCACAAACAAAAUAUUUCACUUGUCUGCUUUUGGUGAAGAGAUGAGUCUAUCUGGACACUUGCGCGGCUGUUUAGGGCACUUGAUGGCAGCUAAGAAUAGAGUAUUAAAACUACAUCACAUUUUGACUUGAAACUGUUUGCAGAAACUGAAGAACUGAUUAGAAAGCAACUUUUGUUUUUUCUUAAAUCAAGUAUUUCUUGUCUUUUUCUCUUCCCUCUCUUUUCCUUCUCUCUCUCUCUACUUUCUCUCUCUCUAUCUCUCUCUCUCUCUCUUUCUCUCUUCAUUGCAACCUUAACCCUUCUUGCGUCCCGGUAACUUGACUUAGGGCCAUAACUCUUGACUGGCCUUCAUUCACUACCUUGCUUGUUUCCCUUGGCAGACCGCUACUUGAGAUGGACGAGACUGCCUUCAUUUUCUGACAGAACUCAUGAUGUCAAAACCUGCUGCGUCUCUCAUCCGACACUCUGACCUAAUUACACACAUACAUAAUUAGUCGGGAAAACUAUAUAGGAUCAUUUUAAUUUAUUAGGCUAAAGAAAAAUUAAACAAGCAAAUGUGGUAAUCGUCUGCUUUAAAAUUGACAUUUCAUUACCUCCCCUUGAAUUGAUAUGGUGUUAGCAGUUACAGUGCAGUAUUGACGUAACAAACUUAUUUAUUGGUUCUGUUUUACCUCUUCCUGGACCUUAGUGCACCAGAGAAAUAAAUCUGAAGCUUUCCACUCGGUUUCUAAUGUCCAUAAUUCUCUGGUUACUUCGCGUGUGCUACUCUUUCUUCUAGUGCUUGGGGUGGGUCGCAUCUGUUUCGUUUGGCGUCAUCAAUGUUUGGCCGUAAUGCUGAUUAAUACGCCACUAUUUUAAUGCAUUAAGCAAGUCAUUUUGGUGAUGUCAAAAAUAAGCCGUGUUGAGUCUAGUUCAGUGGUUCUCAUCCUUCUUAUUUGUGACGUCAUCUCCCCUACCCGAACAAAAAAAUAAAGUUAACCUUUUCCAGUUUGAGGGCCCUAAAAACUGUCACCAACCGAAUAACCUCACUAAAAAAAAAAUGGUCUAGUUUUAUUGAAUCCAACCUUUUGCUUCUACAUUCUGAAUUAAGUGCAGAAGUAGCCAAGAGAUGUAGAUGGCAUCAACCUACUUCCUGCAUUUUGAACUUCACAAAUGUCUUUCUCCUGGCGUCUACAAUUGUAUUGUCAUCUUAGUCCUAAGAAUGUAGGUCAACGAAAGUGAGACGGUCCUAAGAAUGUAGGUCAACGAAAGUGAGACAGUCCUAAAAAUGUAGGUCAACGAAAGUGAGACAGUCCUAAGAAUGUAGGUCAACGAAAGUGAGACAGUCCUAAGAAUGUAGGUCAACGAAAGUGAGACGGUGAUAAGGGUUAGCGCACUUAAUGUCUGCAAGGCUUUGAGCGUCAUAAAAUAAUCUUCUUAAAGCAGGUUUGUUUGUUUUUUAUAUCACAAAAUAGCCGGUCAUUAGAACGCUGCUCCCAGCUUGGGGACAAUUUGACCGUUCUGACAAAGACACCCAUGAGCAGAAAUGUCUUCAAGAGAACGUUUUCAGCUGACCCUUUUGCAGACGUCUUUCUUGAAUGUCUUCAAGAGAACGUUUUCAGCUGACCCUUUUGCAGACGUCUUUCUUGAAGUCCAUAAGGAGUUCUUACGCUAAGGGCAAAAGACGUCUUUUUUUUUUCUAAACAUUGGUAAUAAUGUAGUCGCACUUAAUGAAAUCUUCAAUGGGGAUCAAUAACUAAGAUGUCUUUUGGUCUUUG
rnacentral:sRNA from 1 species